UAUAAUCUCCCUCUCCGCCUUCCUUCUCCAGAACAACCAUUUCAAUUAGCUUCUUCUUCCUUUUUUUUUUUCCUUUUUUUCACAAAAUUUUCAUAUUUGAUGCUGAAUUGCUGGCCGAUGAGGAAGAAAUCCCAGGAAUAGGAAGUGCCGUAUGACACUUUUAAAAAACGCAGCCGAUAGAGAGAGCGGCGGACACGCUUUUCCCAUCCACCGAUGUCAGGGCAAUCUUUGCAUGUGUUGCAAUUUUUGUUUUGUUUAAUUGGUCGGGUUUUGCAAGUCCGAUUUCACCCUCUCCCUCUUUCGCUGCGUGGUUGAUUUGAAACGGGUCUCUGAGGCGCAGAACUUUAGCCGGAAAGAAGAGGCUGAAUCUUGCUCAUGUGAGACAGAGGAUGAAGUAUUUUAAGUCAGCAGGGGAGAAAACAAGCUCAUUAAGCGAGACAUGACAGUGGGCGGGCUAACCUGUUAAUUUGCGAUGAAUUUCACUAGUCUCAAGAGGAACAUUUCCAGGCUUCCUUCAGAUGUUCUUACACCCUAUGACAUAUUCACAAGGAAGGGAAAAAAUCCACCUUUGUAUUUUCAUGACGUGUCAAACUUGAGAUUCUGUGUCAACAACCAGAAUUCUCUAAAUCAAAGAAGUGACUAGGCAAUCAUUUGAGGCUUAGAAUAGCAUUUGACCAGAUGAACUCAAUCUUGACAUUGGUAGAAGUCAACUUGGAAACGUCCAUUCUUGAGCUGUCAUGGUAAGUGGUAACUUGGAAACGUCCAUUCUGUGCCAAGGCAAGGGGUGUUAUGUAGCACUUGUAGUGCAGUGCAACAUAUUUAGGGCACGGAUGGUUUAAAACAAUGUAACACAUUUUGAAUACUUUGUAACUCUACGUGAAAAGAAUUACUUGUAAAAUUUCAUAAUAGAUACAUAAUUAUUAUGCAUGGCAUUCAUUUGAACAGUAAUAAAAUAUUACACUCUUGCUGUAAA